rnacentral:rRNA from 1 species
UACGGAGGGUGCAAGCGUUGCUCGGAAUUACUGGGCGUAAAGCGCACGCAGGCGGUUUUUCAAGUCGGAUGUGAAAUCCCUGGGCUCAACUCAGGAUGUGCAUCCGAAACUGGGAGACUUGAGUACGGGAGAGGGAAGUGGAAUUCCUGGUGUAGAGGUGAAAUUCGUAGAUAUCAGGAGGAACACCGGUGGCGAAGGCGGCUUCCUGGCCCGAUACUGACGCUCAUGUGCGAAAGCGUGGGGAG